rnacentral:rRNA from 1 species
GACGAACGCUGGCGGCGUGCUUAACACAUGCAAGUCGAACGGACAGACAGAGAGCUUGCUCUCUUGAAGUUAGUGGCGAACGGGUGAGUAACGCGUAAUCAACCUGCCCUUCAGAGGGGGAUAACAACGGGAAACCGUUGCUAAUACCGCGUACGAUUCAUGAACGGCAUCGUUUAUGAAUGAAAGGUGGCCUCUAUGUAUAAGCUAUCGCUGAAGGAGGGGAUUGCGUCUGAUUAGCUAGUUGGAGGGGUAACGGCCCACCAAGGCAAUGAUCAGUAGCCGGGCUGAGAGGAUGAACGGCCACAUUGGGACUGAGACACGGCCCAAACUCCUACGGGAGGCAGCAGUGGGGAAUCUUCCGCAAUGGACGAAAGCCUGACGGAGCAACGCCGCGUGAGUGAUGAAGGUCUUCGGAUUGUAAAGCUCUGUUAAUCGGGACGAAAGAGUUCUGCGUGAAUAAUGCAGAAAAGUGACGGUACCGGAAUAGAAAGCCACGGCUAACUACGUGCCAGCCGCCGCGGUAA